UACGUAGGGUGCAAGCGUUAAUCGGAAUUACUGGGCGUAAAGCGCGCGUAGGCGGACCUGCAAGUCGGGGGUGAAAGCCCGAGGCUCAACCUCGGAACUGCCUUCGAUACUGCGGGUCUCGAGUCCGGGAGAGGUGAGUGGAAUUCCAGGUGUAGCGGUGAAAUGCGUAGAUAUCUGGAGGAACACCGGUGGCGAAGGCGGCAUCCUGGACCAACACUGACGCUGAUGAGCGAAAGCCAGGGGAGCAAACGGG
rnacentral:rRNA from 1 species